rnacentral:lncRNA from 1 species
UAAAAUUAAAAUUUAUAAUUACGAACACGAUGCAUUAACGACUUACAGUCAUACACACACAACUAAGACUCAUAAUUGCGCACACGAUACUUCAACUUCUCACAGUUGUGCACAAGUCCUCGCAUGCAUUCUAGCAUAAUUUGGAAAUAAUUAUAGCCAAAGUUCAACUGUUAUUUUACCAAAAGAAAAAUAAAGUAGUUGUACGGACAUGGGGUUCCUUCAUGCCUCCCUUGAAAUAGUCUAAAACAGUUCAAAAGUUCCAAAAUCCAGAUACCAAAACAAGCAGCCUUCAUAGCUUCACACAUACAGACAGAGGAUUCAGAACACUUAAAGCAUAUUUUCCAUCUCUUCUAUAUCACAUACUGACUGAACUAUACAUAUCAAAACCAAACCACAUCAAAAUAGUUCUUACAUAAGAAAAAACAAAACAAAAACAAAAACUCAGAUUCAGAAUCUGCAGCUGUCAUCAGUGCUUGGAGGCAAACCUGUUGCACAAGGCCAAAGCAUUGCUAGUGCACUGUGCAACAUUAAGCACCUGAGCUCUGAUUGAGGCCUUGAUUUUGCCAUCCAAGGCCUUGCCAGAGAACCCAUCAAGGCAAGUAUUGUCAUCAGUCAAAGCAGCACUAACCCAAGUCUCCACAUUGCUCAUGUGCCACACGAAAUCCUGGCCCUUGGAUUUGCCCAUGUUCUUUAGCUCCUGGACUGAUUUGCUGAGCCUGUCCACGGUAUCACCCAUCUCCUCCAAGCAGUCCUUGACAGCUCCGUACUCCCUAGCCUUCAGCCCCUUAAAUUUGGCCAACUUGGUCACAAAUGUCUUGGCCUUUUGAGCCCUGGUUAGGCUCACGGACAGGGCAGCCUGGGCCAGCUGCCGAGGGCUUUGCUGGAUUGAAGUGGCGUAGGAAGAGAGGGAUUGGAUGCAGACUUGUGGGUAGGUGGUGGCGCUGCACGAGCUCUUUAUGAAAUUUGUAUCACUUGUUGUGGCUGUAGAGUUGGCUGUGCCAACAAAGUAGAAAAUGGGAAGUAGCAGCAAAAAAAAAGAGGCUCUAGCCAUUGAAGAAAAGCUUCAAACUUUGGACUGGGAUUUGAGAGUGGGAUUGGAUUUGGGAAGGUUAAGAUUUGAGAGUGAGGAGAUUGUAUAUUUAUAGAGGGUUUUAUGCUGAAUUUAUGUACACCGUGUAACAAUCCGUGUAUUGGGUUUAAUUUUUAUUUGUUUUUAAAAAUAAAAAUCUUCCUUUGCGUCUUCGAAAGCGGAAAGGGUGUGAUAGAUAAAGGGCUGUGGUAGAAAUAAAUAAAUAAGGGGCCACUAAAAUCCUUGUCAACUAAAUGAAAGCUUUGGCACAUGCCACUCUGUAUUUUUCAACCUUAAGUUAGUAAAUCAAUUACCUAACUCUUUGCCACCGACGUGACUUAAUUUACAUUUUAUGGGCAGAAAAUUGAAAUCGAUGAGCUUUGCUAGUAACGUGGGAUCCACAUAUUGGGAGGCUAUUGAUUGGGGACAAAAACUUGGCCAGGAAAUUAGUGUCCCCUCAUGUGAUGUGAUGAUGAGCAAAUCUGACCACGAAUCACGGAUUAUGAAAAAGAUUAUGUUGGAAUUCCUUUAAUUAUGCAACAAGAUUUAGGGAGGGAGUCGUAUAAAACAUAAGCUGCCGAAGUGACACUGUCUACCUGUAGCGUCACUGGUGGACUGAUAUAUGACUUUUCCAUGAUCACUGCGCUUCAUCUCGUCAACCAGUGCCUGUUAACUUGCAAACAAUUUGGGUUCAAUUUGACCUAAUUCAAAGUCCUCCAUGGGAAAGCAAUGUGAAGGGAGGGGUCAAAACAACUAGUUGUUUAUACAAGCGAUGUUGAAAAAUGGGAAACGAUGUUGAGAAAUGGGGAAUCGAAUCGACCAAAACGACAAAGUUUAGCUGAGGAAAAAUGAUGAAAGGUAGCAAAACCUUUUAAAACACUAAAAAGGAGAUGUGAAACCCAUAAUUUAAAAACUGUCCAAAGUAAUGUGAAAGGAACAUGAACUGCAAGGAAUGCUUUCUGUUUUUGUUUCACCUUCGAAUUAAAUUUCAUCAACCACCAAAGAGAAAAAAAAAAAAAGGUUACCUGCCAGUUCAUACUCAACAAGCUCAGUUGAAGGAAGACAAAGUCCUUUGCAGCUCUGCCCCACCCCUUCUCUCUAUUAUUUUUGGCUUCUGCUUCUGCUCUCAAAUCCCUUACCGACAUGAUAUUUUUCAGUCACUGGAUUAUCAGAAGGCCAGACACUAAGAUUUACUUCAUCUAUUAUGAACUCUAUUUGUUACCAUUGAUAUUAUUAUAUAAAACUAGUGGUUUUGUUUCUACAUGUCCAUUUUGAAGCACUGCGGAGAUUAAAAUAAAAAAGAGAAGAGAAUGCUGCUAAAUAAGCAAACUCUGCUUUUGGUUGCUUCUGUCACUCCAUAAGGACCCACCAAACUGCAUUAUUGGCAAAUUAUCAUAUCUAGUGCUGUGAAGAGGUUGAGAUAUGAACAUAAACAUUUCAAGCCUCUUCACAGCACGAGAUAUGACAAUUUGCAGCCGACAUACCCUCAUCAAGGUUCUAGUUGGUUGAAAAAACUGGCAUAGGUAUUAAUUGUACAUAAUAUAAACGAAUGAUUUUUUUUUUUUUUUUUUGGGAUAAGAUAUUUAAACUUAAUAUUUAUAUAUAUAUAUUUUGCUUGUCCUAUUUCAAGGGUUAAGAAGAAACACAAAAUUUGCAGCUAAAUAGAAGAUGUAAUAAGCAUAUGUUUAUUAAUGCGGACGUAAUAUUCUGUAAUAAUCAUUUGAGCUGAAACCUACGAUGUCCCUAUCAAUAAAGCAAGCUAUUGCCUUGCAAAAGAAUCACUAGUGUAGUGGUUUAGAGCAAUUGCUCCCCCAUGCAAGGUCUUGAACGUGAGUCUUAAAAUUCGUGUAGUAUAUAUGAGUUUAUUAUGUUAUCGUCUUUCUCAAUUGAAAAAGUCCUCAAAAAACAAGCUUUAUUGCCAUGUUUAUGAACAAUUUAUUGGAUUAACAUUGUAAUUCCAGCUUUAAUGAGCAUGGUUAUGCCAAAGAGAAGAGAAUGUCUUCGAUUGAUCAUGAACAACGAGGACCAAUUGUUUGUUGGGAUGUACGAUUUUUUGUGAAUCAUUGAGCUCAAUAAUGCCAGGUCAUAAUGAAAGAGGCUGAAAAUAAAUAAUAGUAGAAGCAUCUUGUCGAAAAAGAUACUCGAAUGAUACCUAAGGGGAUUUAUGAUAUAAAUUUACCAGGUAGAUUUGAAUCAGCACAUGUGCAAUUAUAGUAUAUUAUAUAGCAAAUGAAUUGAAAUAUUAUUGCAUGGUAGCUGGGAUUUUGGGUUAACAUUAACCUAAUUAAUCAUCUGUCCUUUUACAUGCACUGCUGGCUGGAGCUUGUGGACUAAUGCCAUGGUUUCUUCAGUUAAGAAAAAUGAAUUAUUUUAUUUUUUCUUAUGUUGGAAAUUUACAAGUUAUACAUUUUAUCUACUGAACAAAAUUUUUAAUCACAUUUCCUCUGAAGCCUUUUUGCAGAUAAAUUCAUGUGUCUUCUCUGUCAUAACGAAGGCACGAAAGAGAUGAACAGGUGAGGUGGGGUUUUGCAGCCACGAGCAGCCACAUUCACUUGUCUGCAGGGAGGACCCAAGGCCAUUUAGGAUCCAUGUUGAGCCACGAAGGAAGGACCCAAGGCCAGCUAGAGCUAGGGGCAAGCCAACCAGGAGAUUUUAAUUUUGUGGAAUUAAACCUCAACACUACAGAGAUGGGACUAUUAGUCCAAUCCUCUCUCCACCAUCAUCAAUCUCACUCUCUCCACAUCUUCCAAUCUACCCACAUUGCCAUAAAUCUUAAUUAAAAGCUCAAAAUUGUAUUCAUUAUCAGGCUCCAGCUCAAAAAGCCUUUCAGCUGCAACCUCUCCAAUAUCUACAUUGCCAUGAAGGUAGCAAGCAUACAGUAAUGCACCCCACACAGUUGGACCAGCCUCGAACUCCAUUCCAUCCACUAUGAUACCAUAAGCUUCUCUGAUUCGACCUGCCCUUCCGUAAAGAUUCACCAUACAAGCAUAAUGCUCCAUAAUUGGGCUAAUUCUAUAUCUAUUUUUCAUGACAGAAUAUAACCUCUCACCAUCCUUCACCAAACCUAAAUGGGCACAAGUCGAUAAUAUUGACACGAAUGUGAUACUGUCUGGCAAGGCACCAGAACUCUCCAUCUGCUCAAAAAACAGCAAGGCUUCCGGGCUUUUAGAAUGAGCUGAAAUCAUAGUAUUCCAUGUUAUGACAUCCCUCUCAGACAUAUGACAAAACAACCACCUUGCUCGAUUCAACUUGCGAUGAUUCGAAUACGCUGCAAUCAAGGCAUUGGCAAUAGACAAGUUCCACUCAACUCCUUGCCGAAUUACCCAUCCAUGGAUUUGAAUUACAAUCUCCAAUGAUGACUCUGCAGCUCCGAGGAUAGUGGAUAUGGCAACAGAGUCUGCCUGGUGCCCUUCAUGAAGCAUUUCAUGAAAGAUGUCCAAAGCCUGCGACAGAAGCCCAUGACGCAUAUAACUCGUGAGCAUGGUGUUCCAAGAGACGUGGUCUCGACUAGUAAUCUUAUCAAACACUUUCCGAGCCUUCACAAUGUCACCACAUUUGGCAUACAUGUCCACCAAUGCAUUCAGCACAAACCUAUCAUUCAAUAAACCCAAUCGCACUAUAUGGCGAUGCACAGCCUCACCUAUUUGAAUGAACCCUAUUCCCCCACAAGCUUUCAAAACACGAGGGAACGUGAACCGGUCUGGUUCAACUCCCUCUUCCUCCAUUUGGAAGUAUAGCGCCAUAGCAUCCUCAUACAAACCCAGUUCUGCAUACCCCGAGAUAAGUGAAUUCCAGGCGAAAGCAGACACGUCCCUCUUAGGCAUUUCAUCAAACACCUGGUGAGCCUCCUCGAUAUAGCCAUGCGAAGCAUAGAGCCGAAGAAGCUUGGACGAGAUGCCUACAUUUCUACGUAAAACGCUUCUUGGGAUAAGACGGUGAACUCGGAGACCGUAGUCCAUGGCUUGAAAUUGAUAGCAUGUUUCUAACAGGGAAGCAAAAGUUUCGGUAUCGACGUUUAUGCCUUUACCAAUGGCUGCUUCAAGGUCAUUGACGACGGCGUCGAGGGCUUGGAGCUUGGUCUGGGAAUGGGGUUUAUGGCAGAUAAUGAGGGGGGUUGGGAUUGUUUUCGGGAAAGAGAGGGAGUUGUUGCUUUGAUUUUGGCUAACUUGUUUUUGCUUCUUGUUUUUCUUGCUCUUGGAAGAGCAGAUGCUCAGUUUUGCGGUGUGGAAACUUAGCGGUUGUAAAGUGGUCACCAUUUGUGAAAGGAUUGUUGGACCAAACCAGAUGAUGGUCAUGGAAAGAAACUGAAAACAAAUUUUUAUGAGUUGCUUGCUAGUAUGGGAAUGGGCCUAUGAAAACUAGCCCAAUUGCAGAUCUUGAACUUGAUUCAAAUAAAAUGAUGAUCUUCCUUCUUCUUCCUUUUUCAUUUUUUCUGUGCAUAUUGAAAUGAACCCUUUAGGAUUUAGCUCUCUCGAUAGAACAAAGUGACAAUAUUUUUCUACACAUGGGUAUAUUUUACGUAAUGGAAUCUCAGUUGAAGAUUUCAUCCUUUAAAUAUAAGAUUAGCUUUAGAAUUAACAGUAAUGGGAUGGGCCUCAUUUAGCUUGAGAAUUAACAAUAAAGCCCAAAGUUAUGUAUCUUACAUCAUCAUUACAAUGUACAAAGCAGUCUCUGCAUUCAUCUUCGCUUAUCAUCUAAUUAAUCAGCAGAACUCACGUAGCAAUUGACCUAUGCAUUACACCAUCAAUCAAACCCAAACUCUACUCUGAAUCAAAGAAAACGGUAAAAAAAAAAAACUCAAAAUUAAAGAUGGUUUAUUGAUCUCCUUUAAAAUUGGAUUUCGUUUCGUGGUCGAAAGGGAUGUUGCUUUGCUUUGCUGCCUCAACACUCAAAGUUUAUUAUGACUAAUACAAAAUAGUUGAUUGGUUAUGAGCAGCAAACAACUCUACCAGACCAACCAACACCUUUGAAAAUUUACAACACACGUUGAAUUAAUGGAGAAACGUUGCAACUCCAAUUUUGUUUUUUUUGUUUUUUUUUUGUUUUUGGCAGUUUAAUUGAUUAUGAUUGGUAAUAGCUUAAUGACAGCAGAUAAACUCAUGCAUUACAUCACUAAUUUAGGUAAUGAUUUCGUAAGGUUUAGAAUACAAAAACAAGUUAUGGUUCCCUUUUCUAGGUUUUAUUAUUAUUAUUAUUACUUUCUGUUUGGUAGGUCUUCACACUCAGGGGUUCAGAUUUUCUAAAGCUGCAAAAAAAAAAGUGCGGAUCGUUUGGUUGUAAGUAGUUAGCAACACUGUACACAUAUUUCACUAUCAACAUUGCAUUUGUAUACAGUAGCAUGUGAUUUGCAAGGGGAAAAAAAUGAUUUCUCACCUAUAUCUAUUCACAAGACCUUCGUAUAGUGAUUUUGGUUUGAACAGAAUCGAAAUUAAAGUUAAGUCAAUUCUUAUGAGUUAAUACUUAAAAUUCACUAAAUAACGACAUAAAUGUUAAUUCAAUUUAAAUAAAAUAAUUCAGUAAGACCGAGCCACUAGCCGUGAAAGUUUACAAAAAUCCAACUUGUAAAAUGAAAAAAAGCACAAAAAUAAGAUGGGCAAAACCAGAAACACAAAUGAAAUUUUCAAUGGUGUGUGGUGACGAUAUGGGUGAUGAAAUGCCUAAGUAAGAGUGAGACGAAGAUUGAAGGAAAGGUGGAGAAAUUGUGGUACAAUUUGAAAAAGGAAAGAGAUGGAAAGGCAAUUGGGCGAUGCUUAGGUGUAGCUUUAUGAUUGGCUGCAGAAUUUGCCAACUGAAAUCCCCCACAUGGAUGAGGACAAGUUUGGAAUAUAAUCAAUCGACAUCGUGCGCUCCUAUAUUAAUAUUUGGCCUCACUCUUAUAUCAAGCAACUGCAUUCACGCGUCUGUAAAAUUAAUUAACCCUAAAUUAUUUAUUCCUUUUAUAAUUUUAUAUUAGAAUCCUUGGAUAGGACUGAGGCGGGCAUGUACUUAUCACCACAUCCACAAUGCGACUGGAAUGAUACCCUUGGAAAGGGCCUUUUGCUUGGGCUAUGCAUGCGCCAUUGGGACCAAAAUUGCACAAAUCAAAUAAUUUCUUCACUAAUUUCUUAUGAGAAUUUAUUCAUAUAAGAGAAAGCACCAAAGGGUUUUCUUUUCUUUUGAUACUCUCAAAAUUCUUAUGUGGCGGUGCAUGCUUAUGAAAAGUUUGAUAAAGGUUUCUUUAGUUUCAAACCAUAAAAAAAAAAAAAGAGAAGGGGGGUUAAUCUUUACUUCGUUUUUUGAUUGAGGAUGGCAAAAGGUAAAAAAGUAGGUUUGGUAAAUGCAAUAUUUUUCUCAACCAAAAGCAAGGGAAGGAAGAGGAGGAACAUGAAAUUAUGGGUAUGCCCAAUGCCCCAUGUGUGAGACGAAAAGUUUUGGUUGGUGGUGUGAAAGGAUUAGAGCUUUGCCAAUUUGGUAGCCAGGUCAUAAAAAAAAUGAAGGCUAAAUGCCAUGGAAAGUGUCAAUUUAUAUUUGGUCCAAAAUUUAGUUGUGACAUCCACGCAAAUAAGUCAAGAGCGUGAGACUUAGGGUACACAUUUUUUCUUUUUUCUUUCUUCUUCUUGAUUUCCCCUAAAAGCAAGGCAGCCACUACACACAGUUAGUAUAUAAAGGAAGGUGAGUGGGGCUUUGGCGUAGCAAGUACUACACACUACACUUAACAGCACAAACAAAGUGAUGGGAAGGCAACCUUGUUGUGACAAGCUUGGUGUGAAGAAAGGGCCAUGGACUGCUGAGGAGGACAAGAAAUUGGUGAAUUUUCUCCUCGCACAUGGCCAAUGCUGUUGGCGUGCAGUCCCCAAGCUCGCCGGCCUCAGGCGCUGCGGCAAGAGCUGCCGCCUCCGGUGGACUAACUACCUCCGGCCUGACUUGAAAAGAGGCCUCCUUAAUGAAGCUGAGGAGCAACUUGUCAUUGACCUCCAUUCCCGUCUUGGCAAUAGGUUUGCUUUUGUUCUUUCUUUGCUAUACUUUUCUACUGCUUUUGUCACCAACCAUUCUCUAGUUUCUUCGGCUUUUAGGACCCAUAAAUCAUAUAUAACAUUAUAAUCAAAUUUUUUUAGACAUCACACUGAUUAAAGAGCUUAAAGCUGUAACAACUUCAGCUGUGCAAAACAGCACUUGCUAUGCUUAUUCUAGUAUAAAUAUCACUUCUUUUAGGUAAGCUUUUUUGUUUUGUUUUACUUGACAUGUAAUUAGCAUAAUUUGAGCUGUGAUUUUGCCUCCAGGUGGUCUAAAAUUGCAGCAGGAUUGCCUGGAAGAACUGACAAUGAGAUCAAGAACCACUGGAACACACACAUCAAGAAGAAGCUUAUCAAGAUGGGCAUUGAUCCAAUCACCCAUGAACCUCUAUGCAAGCAAGCCACUCCACCAGAAAUGCCUUGUAAACCAAACAAUCCACCUGCAGAUUUAGACAUGAAUCAGCAGAACGUGAAUAUCCCAGAACAUGGAAUCUCUUCUGCAGCUGAAAGUUCCUCAAGCAAUGAAUCCCAGCCAUUGGAGCCUAACCUAAAGAGUGAAGAUGACCCGUUGAUGAGCUACAUAUUAUCCGAUACAUUCCUGGAAGAUUUGACAUGGGAUUUUUCAGCCUCAUCAGAAGAUAGCUCAGCAGCUGAUAAUCCGGCGGAGGAUAAUAGCUUAGCAUGGUUCUUGGACUGCAAGGAUUUUGGAGUUGAAGAUUUCGAGCUCGGGUGUAUCAAUUAGUGACUGACACACGGUCAUAUAUUUUCAGUACCAGAACCCACAAAAAAGUUACCAACCAAAGCGCUCUCUCUCUCUCUCUCUCUCUCUCUCUCUCUCUCUCUCUCUCUAAGAAGUACAUAGCCAAACAAAGUAACCAAUAAAAAAAAGAAGACGACUUUGUAUGUUGGAGACUUAAUCAUUCUAUCUGAAAAAUGAUGAGGCAAAGGAACGAAAAGACCAACAACUUGUUUAAGAGAUCUGUUUAUUCUCUUUAGCAUUUUGAUUGAUUCCCACUAACACUAUUUAGUGGAAUAUCUGUAAUUUAAAAAUGUAGACUAGUUUGGCCAGCCAGUGGCCAAUGGCAUCAAAAUAUGGGUUGGUAGGUAGGGUGUCCUUUUGCAACAAAAACUACCACACACCAAUUUGAUACAUUUAAGCUCAGUUUUUUUUUAAAUAGCUAAAAAUAAGUACAACUCUGUGGAUGGAAACCCUCAAAUUCACGUAAUUGCAUAUGAAGUUUUCUCUUUUGAUGUCCUUAUCCAAUGAUUUUUCUGGAGAGUGAUAUUUCGUUCUCAUUUUCCUGUCUUUUUGGCUAAUAAAUAAAUAAGCAUAGAUCAUCAAACAUUCUUUAGUUUUAACUAUUCUGCAGAUUGAAUAGUGGGGUAUUUUAUUUUAUUUGGCAUUAUAUGAUAAUUAAGUAAAAAAAUGAAAUGUGAAAUGAGACGCAUCAUCAUCACGCACCAGAAGCUAGAGCACCAUUGUUAUUAUGACACUUUCUUGCCUUCCAAACACGUACUUUUGGCUAUUAUAAACACCAAAUUAUUGUAUAUCUUCCAAAGGGAGAAGGUGUUUUAAGUGUGGACUCAAAAAGAUGAAACCCUAAUUUAAAACCCACAUUCUUUUACAUAAGAAAAAACCCAGCAUCAUUCCAAUAUCCACUAUUAGAUUUAGAUGUGGCACUGCCGUAUAUUGUCUGACAUAUGCAUAUCCACAAGUUUGGCUACAAUUUAUAAGCAAACGGCUUCAGGCUUUCAUCCCAAUCUUGUUUCUAGAAGAAAAUUUAUUCAAAGCAAACACCGGAUUCGCCGCUUAUAACAUAAAUGGAGCUCAUCAUCUUUUAAUUGCUGCCAAAUCUCCUAUAUUUUGUAGAAAUUUUUUACUUAUGCCUUCCUAAUCCAAAGUGAAAAGAACAUGAUUAUGUUUAAUCUAACUUUCCAACUUGCCUGUUGCUCAUGAAGACAAUAAGGUUACAUUACAUCCAACCAUAUCCAAGAGACCAUGAUCAUAUAUUGCCUAAGUCUAAUUUUUAACCCGCAGAUUUUAAACAGCUCACUAAAAUUAAAAAGGGACCAAAAUUUUCUACUGAAAAUAUAUAUAUACAAGAAAACUCAUCGCGUAAUCAAGACCAAAAGAUCUCAACAAGGCCUUUUGCAGUGAUAAUAAUCCAUUUUUAGAAUGGAAAAUUAGUGAAACAGUCAAGUGAGAUUAACUAGACCAGCUUCAGUAGCAGCCUACCUUUGCCCUUCAGGAAGAACAACUGCUAUCACUGAAUUGAUGAGGCACUUCCUGAACUAUUCAUGUUGAUGACUUUUCUCCAACGAACCGCAUUUAAAGGGACAGUAAGCUGGGAGCACUAGGUCUAGGUCAGAGCAUAGAUUUGUUAAAGGCUUAAAGCAGCAAUGUCUACUGUCAUGGAACGGAUGACUUUGAGGCAUCUGGGGACUCCUUGGCGCUCUUCACUAGAAGAUCAUAAUUGAUAGAAGCUAGCUGCGACAAGUUCUGAGAACAGAAAUAACACAUGAAUGAUGCUAAAUCCCUAGAGCAAGAACCACCACCAUUCAUUUUUCAUCUAGCAUCUAAAGUCCCUUCCAAUGGAGAAAAUAUGUUCAGGUUCACAGGACUUACCUUAAAUGAAAAAUUACUAAAUGAGUACUGCACAUCAAGGGUUGGAGCACUAAAUUCCGCCAAACUGCCAAAUUCAUCCCCCUGAAUCACAGACAUACAAUGGUCAGGUGGCUAAAAUAAUAGUCCCACUAGAAUGCACCAGGGUCAACAAAUUUAUGAAUUCAAAGUAUAAUUCUUAACGGAUUUCAAGCACACUUUGAAAUCAUAUCUUCGGUACAUCCUUGUAGUCCAUAUACUUCCAUAUCAACUUGGAUGCAGUAAGAGCUAUGGUCUGGCCUUUAACAGCUCUAUGUGCAUAGAGACUGGAAAAAAAGAAAAAAGACAAAAAGAGAUCAUAUGUAGGAGGAUGCAUACAUCUUCGUCUUGUAUGUUGCUACAUGAACCGCUGCUGCAUGUUUCAGUCAUUUCAUCAAAAUCGCUGGCGCCAUUAACAUGCUCAUCUUCUGGAUUCCAUAUGUACCGGCUCAUGAAAUAACUUGUAUCAUGUACAUCUGUUGAUGGUAUGAACAUUGCCUGCAGCCAAUAUAUAUGGAUACUCUUGACUAUCACAGAUAUACCAAAAAUCAUUUUAAAACUUGAAUAAAUAUAACUUGAAAUGACCUUCUGCCUCGCAAGUGUAUCCCAGUUAAUAUCCUUGAAGAAAAUAUGUUGCUUCACCUGCCAGAAAAGACACAAAACUUAAUUCUAUCUUCAUUCUGACUUACAAAUGAAUUUUCAUCGGUAGUCAAUAAAUUACCUCCCUGGAACCUGUUGCUCCAAGUCUUUGAACUGGGUUUUCGGUCAUCAAUCUGACAGGAGGCCAAAGGAAAUGUAAGUAAGAUGAAGGCAUGCUGUCUUCAAAUUCUAAAUGAGAGGACUUUAGAUAUCUUAGUCUGACAGACCUCUCUUGAAAAAUAGAGGCACAUUAGAAAUCUACAUAAGCAGUCACAAUAAAAUUGUAAUUAAUACAUCCAGAAACAUAUCUCUUGUAAUCUUUCUUACUUGUCAAUCAAAUCGUAUGCUUCAUAGCUCAUCUCCUCAGGUACCUUAGGCCAGGGAAUAUCUCUGUUUAUUAUAUUGUUGAAAAUUUGCUGCAAUAAGUAGGAUCUAUAAGUAACAGUGUCAAAUUUUUCACCCAAGACUCUCAAAUGAUCUGGCAUUAAAAGAUGUUACAAUUCCCGGUUAUAAGGAUCAGAAAAAAUCAUUCAGAUGUUAAGGAUGCUAUAAAAGACUUGGAGCAAUGUUAAGUAGAAAUAAGAGCAAUAGAGAAAUACUGUAGUGCAGAAAAUAUACAACGAAAUGUAAAACCAAUAAAUGAUAAAUUCAAUAAAUUUUUGGUGAAGAAUUGAACGAACAGGCUGUAAGAACCACCAGAAAAAGAACUUAAUCCUUCAUGAACAGUCCAAAAAGAACCACCAGAAAAAUUUUAGGAACAAAAUAUCAUCAGAACAAACUGUUGUGCCAAUGAAAAUGAGGAGAAAGAUUAAUGCUCAUAAGAUAUUCAUGAGUUUACUGAAGAGUGUGUAUAGAAUUUAUGCAUAUAUAUACACAAAAUCCUCUCUUAAGUUCCUUAAGUAAGGACCUGUUUUUUUUAUGACAGAAGAUGAUUACAUUCAAUAAAGAGGGAAAAGAAAAAAAACAAAAUACGCCCAGCAGUCCAAAAACAAUUUAAAUUAAUGCCCACCAUAGUUAGACUGCAUACCUGUGGAUGCUCUGCAUUGAACGGUGGAAGACCAACAAGCAGCUCAAAAAGAAUAACGCCCACAGACCACCAAUCAGCAGUUGCACUAUGCCCCAUGCCAAGAAGUAUUUCAGGUGCCAAAUAAUCAGGGGUGCCAACAACUGAAUGUUUCUGGCGCUGUGUCCUUUCUGAUGAAGGCUGAGUUUUUGGUUCAUCAUCUCGAAGAAAACCAGUAUCACUAACUGAUGGACCUGAUAAGUCAUCAGUGCUGCUGAUUAGACCAACCUUGGAGAGCCCAAAAUCUGUCAACUGUAACAUAAGGGAUUAGACAUUUGUGAGAAGUGACAAGUAAACACUUUAUGGCAGAACCUAUGCAGAUGAUACCCAAAAAAACAGAUGCAUGAUAUAAUACCAGAAUGCUUUUACUAUGGCCAAACUUAUCUCCAAUUAUAUAAAAGAGGGGGGGAAUUAUGUAAAAGAACUAAGACCGCUAAAUAUUGACCUUGAUGUGACCAUCUUGACCAAUCAACAGGUUGUCUGGCUUCAAGUCUCUAUGGACAACAUUUAAUGAAUGCAAAUACUCCAAAGCAAGAACCUUUAAAAAGAAAAGAGUAAACAAAAGAUUACUUGUACUGUUAUACCAUCUAUGAGAAAAAUUUUAGAGAGAGAGAAAUGAAAAGGUGAAUCUGGAGAGGAAAAUGGAACAAAAGAUACUAGUAUUCCCUUACAACUUCUGCAAUAUAUACUUUGGCCAUAUCUUCAUCUAAGCAGCCUAGAUUUCGUAGUAAAGAGUACAGAUCUCCACCAUUUAAGUAUUCCAUGACCAGAUACAGGUUUUCCCUGCAUGUGAACGAAUAGAAAAAUCGGACCUGCUCAUCAUCAGAAGUACGUAUUAGAAAUUAUUUCCAAAUGCAAUGCAUUCUUAAAGUGAACUGUACAUUUUGGGGGCCCACUAACCACAAAAGGAUUGCGAAGCAAUAUAAGGAUGUUACGCUCCGCCAAAAUACUUUCAACAGCAUUUUUACGAAUCAUAUCAGCCUUCUUUAAUACCUUCAGAAAUGUACCACCAGAAUCAGUUCUGAAAACCGACUUAUCUUGAAACAUUUACUUGCAAUUAAAAGAUGGAAGCAUUUUCCAUGGCUGAAAACACAUAGAAACAAACAGACCUUUAUAGCAAAUAAGUCACCAGUCGCUCUUUUUCUGGCAAGAAAAACUCGCCCAAAUGCACCCCUGCUUAUUGGUUUUAUUAUUUCAAAAUCUUCAAUAGAUGUUCGAUCCUUUGAACACGGAUUGAUGGGGCUGGCACGCAGACUACGAACUGCUUCAUCUUCAACUGAACUUUCUUCGUCAGCCAUACCAUUUGAUGGAUCCACUUUCUCAUCUUCUAUCUGCCCACAAAGAUGUACAUAUUUUUCCCUGUAAAUUUCAGAAUUAUCAUUAUAAUCAGAGAUGCUUUUACUGGAUUUUAAAUAAUUAACCAAUCAUUUGAAGAAAUAUGAAAAAUAUAAUGACGACAGAAGAUAAAAAUGAGACAAUUUUGUUAAUACUCGAAUCAAGAAAAUCUUUUGAGGGGAUUCACAAUUGUACAAACCACAAGAGACAUGCAGUAAUAAAUUAUGGCUUCCACUCACUGCAAUAAUUUUUCUAUACGCCUUCCAAAAGUCUCCACAACAAGGGCAUCGACCUUCCUAUCCUGGAUGGCGUAUUUUAGGUCUUCCAGUCGUUCAAGCAUGUACUCCAAUGCACUGUAUUCACAAUUGCUAACAUUUGCGAUGGAACGGGCGAUAUCCAGUAGCUUAUGAAUCUGUCAAUCCAUGCUCUAAUCAAAAUAUGAACAUGAAGGGAGCAGAGUGUCUAUAGCAAACAAGAUGAACCAAAAAUGCAUUCAACAAGAGUUUCAGUUGCAGAGCAAUAAUACGAAGUUAAAACAAAGUAUACUGACUUCAUCUUUGAGAGAAAAAGAAGUAACGGCAGAAUUCUGGUCAGAAGGAAAAUAGAAGUGGGUCACCUGCUGAUAACUCUCAAGUUCUGGUAUUGCUCUCCAUCCACUCAACAGCAUUUCAAUCUGACUGGUUCUUGGUGUUAAUAGUGGUGAUCUUGGUGUCGAGCUUCCUGCCGACGAGGUUCUGGUGCCUUGUUCAGGUGUCAAAGAAGAACGCAUGUCACAUGGCAUGUCAGGCAAAACAUUCAGAUCUUCCAUGACAAAAGAAUUGUCAGCAUCAGGAACGCAAUCAAGAAUGCCUUCAGAGAAACGAGGAGACAAGUCAUUUCGUUUUGGUGGUGACAAAUCAUCUAAAUCUUCAUGCAUCCUUGUUGUAUAUACUCCUGAAACAUCAAAACUUCCUCGAGUUUCAGUGCCUUUUAGUGUCCAAGAUUCCAUUAUCCUUUCAAGAGCUUCAGCAACUCUUUCAAGUCGAUCAUUCACAGUUAAACCCUUCAAGUCACACCUAUCAGCAAUCGUACAUAUUCGGGAGUGCUCCUCUACAUGUACAGUUGGUAUUUCCACCUCACAUAUGCGACAGAUCAUCAAAUUCUCGUAUGAAACAUUCUGCUGAUCCAUCCAUAAUCCCCAAGAGAUUCUUUGUGCACUUGCAGACACCUCUGGGGGUUCAGGUCGGCAUGAUGGAGUAUCCACAUUGUCGCUACUAUACUCCCCACAAGUUUUUGUGUCAUCUUUGGCAUGCAAACGGUCUGAUUUGUCGUUUGGCGGUGUAUCAGCAGCAUCAUGGCCUUUCUGAUUCUUCUCAGCAGCAGAUGGAAGUUUUUUCCAAGAUGACAUCCUAUAGCUGCCUGUAGAUUCAACGCUUUUGGCAGUGUCAACCUCCACAUCAUCAGCAGCACUAACUUUUUCCUGCUCAUGGGACUUAUUCAUGUGCUUCUCAUUUGCAUCCUUACCACCCAGUUGGCCACUAAAGCUCUGCUGUGCACCCUCCAAAAUUUGUUCAGGGUAAACACCAAGAUCACUGAGCUGGUGAAGACUGAGAAUGUGCUCUUCCUCAUAACCACUCUCUUUUUGGAACUGCACAAGCCGUGUGCACCGAGUGAGAAUAAAAAGAAGACGGGUGUGGGCUUGUUUGAGGGCCCCCAUUGGUAGCUCUUGACGCCGGUCAUCCAAUUUCUGAACAAUGGCUUCGCACUUCACCCAAAAUUCACCAGGCGACAUCUUUGCACACCGCCGGGCAACAACCAACAGAUCCUCAAAAUUCUCUUUCCAUUCAGGGUGAGACUCCGAAGACUUUUCAAGUAUUCCCACCAAAUCACCAGCAAAUGCACCUAAAUCAAAGUCAACAUCUUCUUUUAACCUCUCAAAUCUUGCCCUGACCGCCACCAUAAUCUCCUAGACAAUUUUACAACAGCGACACAGUUUAAUGAGAUCGGGCAAAGAACAAAAUAAAAUACUAUAAGGCAUAAAAAUUUAUAAUAUAAAUUCAAAUUUACCUCCAUAUGGCCAAAUGCGCGAGACUUCCACACGGGAAAUGGUCGAACUCCUUUAGAGUUGAGCUCAUGAGAGAAACUUUUAAUGUCAUGUGUCCUCUUCUUUCGCCCACUCGUAACACGCAGUAUUGCCUGAAAACGCGGCGACUGCAUUUCCUUUGAAAAGGCUGCAUGGUUACCCUACCAAUAUAUACAAUUACAUACAAACCACAUCAUUGUCAAGCUCGUGAGCUACCUGCAUUUCUCCAACCAACUACAUAUAUAUACAUAAGGCAAUUCAUUGGCAAUUUCUUUACCUCCGAGACUGGAUUGAGCAGUGAAGGAUUUCUGAGCGAUUUUGAUUGAUUCCAGUGCACAGGUUUCACUAUAAAGUAAUUGAAAAUUAGAAAUUAACAAAAAAUAAAUUACACUCACAAAUACCUGAUGAUCGAAUUCAUUAUUAGACGGAAAAGAACGAAUUAUAAUCCAAUAAAAUAAGAAUAUUAAAACGUUACCACAUUAAAGUUACGUAAAUACCUGGUUGUAUGGGCGUAAAUUUGGGUUUUGGCUUGACCGUGUACUUGACCUUAUUCGAUUCGUCACCGAAAUUCGAAGCCGCGCAGACCGACGAAGAGAAUCGAAGCGGGGACGGAGCCGAUCGAGUCCGAAUGUGAUUGAGGCCGAGCGACGAUGCCAACACGAUAGGCGCAUCAUCUGUUUUACGUUCCGUACGAACCUGGUCCUCAUACUCUUCGUCGUUGUCGUCGUCAUCGUCGUCGUCAUCUUCUUCUUCGAAUUCUUCAAAUUCUUCGUCUUCGUGGAUCGUGUGUCUGGGGCUUCGUCGAAUCGGGAUGGGGGGGAUUUUGAGGAGCUUAGCUCUGGAGGGAGAGGGUUGAGUUGGAGAGGACACGGACGACGUCGUUGCGGAGUCUAAUUUGCCGUCGGGGUCGGAAAUCAGGGGUGGCUUUGAAGAAGGCGGAGGAGAGCUCGACAUGGGGGAGAAAACAGUUCGGGUUUAGAUUUCGGAUUCGGAUUCGUCAUGGGAUUGAGAGAGAGAAGGGGGGUUGCUGGGGGAGAUUAUCUCGCGGGAAGAGAGAGCGUUAGAGAGUGACACGAAUUUAUGUGUUUUUUCGGUUGUGGGUUUGAAACGGGCUUCCCGCUAAGCAUGUAAUUGGCGCCGUUCCCCUGCAGACGGGACUACCGUAAGUUCAAACUUGAAGGAACAGAAACAGAUGCACAAUUGACAAACGAAAAGUCAAUUGCACUUAUUUAGCCUUAUUCAUCAACUGACCCAAAUCACUUUUGUUUUGUGGGCCGUCGUUUGUUUGAUUAUUUUCUUUUGGGCCUUGAAUGUAAAAGAUAAAACUCUUGCAAUUCCUCCUAUUCUUAUAAGGAAUUACGAUAAAACUCUUGUAUUUCCUCCUAUUCUUAUUAGGAAUUAGGAGCACUUGUAUAUAAAUAAGGGGUUCUUUUCUUUCUAUAGUCAAUUGCUUUACAUUCAAUUCAAAGCCAGCAAAAAAAUCUCGUCUGUGUUUUGAAUCAAUGGAAUCAGGUAUGUUUUCUUAAACAAAACUUCUCUAGGUUACUCGUGUUUUCCUUUCCUUAACUUUGUAAAUUUGUUUGUUUGCAAGUUGUUGUCAUGCUAUAUUUAGUAUUGUAAAUAUGCGAGCCUUUUAUAUUGUAUCUUGCUAUUGCAAAAAUUUCUAGAUAAUUCAUGUGUCCUACUCCUAUAAAUUUGAUGAAUAUUUGGUGAAAUAAAACAAAAAAUUAUAUCCUAAAUUAAGGAAAAUAAGGAAAAAGAGAAAAGCAUGACUCUAAUCUAAUACUCAGUUGAGUUGAAUUUUUGGCUACACAUGUUAUAUAAUCCUAUCAUACAAUAUUCGUGGGGAACCUUUCGUUUUUGUCAACUAAUGAAUGACACACCUGUUUUUUUUAGAACCUUUCAUAUAAAGAAGGGUGAUAAUAUACUAUAUUCAUGACCUUGUCUAAGAGAGCAAUUACUCUAAACUACUACAAUAAUGGAUCCUUUGCAUGAAAGACAGGCCCUAAAACACCCUAAGCUGCCACCUUAAUUAGUUUUAUUUCAAUCAGUUUUUAGGAUGUUGUUUAUUUAUAUAUAUUGUUUUAUAUCACUGUGUGUGUAAGGUUACAUCCUUCUAGAUUUGUCUUUAGAUUUUUUGUUCUCCAUUUGCUUCUGUAAUUUGAUUGUUUUUUAGUUGUAACAUGCCUAUCUUCUAAUAAAAGAAAAACAGGAAUUAAUGCACCUUUUAGUUUGAAAUUCUUUUUUACUGGUUUUCUUUUUUAAUUUAUAUCUUUGUAUCGUUCCAUCAAUUUUUACUUUCUAUGUUUCAAAUCAUACGGUUAUUUUUAUAAAGCUAUGGCCAAGAUUUAUUACACAUCUGCUUCUUCUUCAUCGCAUCUCUAAUUGAUUUUUUUUUCUUUUUUAUUUUUAGAUUGGGAAAGUUUGCCUGAGGAGCUUUUAGAUUUAGUUUUCAAGAGACUAGUGUUGCAUUUAGAUUCUUUACGAUUCGCUGCUGUUUGCAAGUCAUGGUAUUGGGUAUCAAAGAAUAAGCAAAUCAAUAGUGUUCCAAUGCUCUUGAUUCCUGAUAGAAAAAAAGAUACAUGGAAUUUAUGUGAUGUGACAAAUGAUAAGGUCCUCAAAAUGCAGUUAAAAUGGAUGAAGAAGCGAUUUUGUGGGUCUUCAAAAGGAUGGUUAAUAGUUUGUGAUGACAAUUUUGUGGUAACCUUAAUAAAUCCAUCAUUCAGGGUUAAAGGAAGAAAAAAGAAAAAAAAUUCAAUUAUUCGUCUACCUCCACUAAAUCCUCCAGGUGAAUACCACAAAGGUGCUUGUGCUAAACAUUGUGAAUAUUUUGUCUACAAGGCGGCGAUUUCCGCAGAUCCAAUAUCAAAUGCAAAUGACUGCAUUGUUGUGGUAAUAUAUAACCCAUGGUGUGAAUUGGCUUUUAUUAGACUUGGAGACAAUAAAUGGACAUACUGCGAUCGAUAUUGCCCAGAUUGUUCCUUUUUUGAAGAUAUUGCUCAAAUUGGAAAUAAAAGUUAUGUUCUUACAUCCAUUAAGAGACAACUUUUUAUUUUUGAAUAUACUACUCAGCGCAUCCUAAAUAUAAAUCUGGUGGCACCUCUUUAUGAAACAGAAUUAUACAUAAAGGCAUACCUUGUGGGUUCCAGUGAGGAAGAGUUAUUGUUGGUUCACCGCUAUGGUACUUAUACACAUCAUUGUCGCGUGACAAAUAGAUUUAGAGUUUUCAAACUGGAUGAUGAUAAGUAUGAGUGGAUUGAGAAAAAUGACUUAGGUGAUUUUGCUUUGUUUGUGGGUGAUAACUCUUCAAUAUCUGUCGUGGCUUCAAAAAUUCAAGGAUGUGAGUCGAAUUGCAUAUACUUUUACGAUGAUUGUGAUCUAACAAUAAGAGAUUGUUCGUUUACAGAUUUGGGGUGUUCAAUGUCAAAAGUCAAAGGAUUUUAAAGUCUGCGCAUAUUCUGACCCUGAUGAAGAAGUUGAAGCAAUCUCCAAUUUGGUUUUUGCCAUCAGUUUAUCUAUAAAAAUUUGUCACAUUUCUUCUUAUCCUCAAACAUUUAAAGAUAUUUUUCUAGGUUAUGUUUUAAAGAUGUAGAUUCAGUAUUAAAUCUUUGAUAUUUGAUACAUUUUUUUAUUUAUGGCAACUUGGUCAUGGAUUUUUGUUAGUGCACUAAUUGAAAACCGUAGAGAAACAUACAAGGACAAUUACAUUAUUGAAAUAUGUUACCCGAGCAGAUAUUUUUUAUGUUUUAUUUUUUAUCGAAAGGAAAUUAUAACGAAAUUACUAAUCACCAAGUGUUACGUGACUUUUGAGUUGGAUAUGAUUUAAUUAGAUGAUAAUGUUGAUUAAUCAAUGUGUGGACCGGUCCCGCAGCCAUUAUCUUUAAAGCAUAUAACAUUUCUUUUACUACAGUGAAAACUGUCAAAAUAUAAGUCUCUUUUACCGUUAUUCUAAAUUUGACAUCCACGGCCCAACUAGUUGGAUUUCUGGUCCGUCGUACGCAUACUGAACAUAAAAAACCUCCGCAGACCUACCUCACUACGGCGCCACCGGAAAAACAAUGCUCAGCCUCCUCCCCCGGUCUUGCCCAAAGCUCCGGUUCAAACCCGGUUAUAUAUAUCGGCUAUCCGGGCCCUAUUACUACCCGUCGCCGGUACGCCUUCUCCACCGCCACCGGUCUCUAUGGCUUCGACCACUUAAAGACCCCCAAAGGCUUUCGACGUUUCGUCGACGAUGCUAUCGAAAGGUCCAAACUUUGGAAAUCCCAAUAUUCAUGGCAUUUUGAUUUCCAUCAGUCUCCCCAUUUUCAUUCGUAUUUGUUUUUAGGUCCGGAGAGCUGGUUGCAUACAUUUCAGGGAUGCCUUCCUCAGCGUAAAUAAUAAGAGCCAUGGAUGAGAUUUCUAACAGAGUAAGGUCUCACAUUUUGUCUAAUUCUCUUUUUUUAAGAGUUGUUGGACUAAUUCUUUGUUAUACUCUCCAAUUGCAUAGGUCUGUUCUGUCAUUGACUCCGCGGAGCUUUGUAGACAAACUCAUCCUGACAGGUUAUUAUUCUCUGAAUUUUUUGACAUUUUUUUUUUUUGGGGUUGUUGGUAGUUUUCGAUGUUUCGGUAUUUCGUCGAUUUUCACUUGAUUGUGUAUUAGGGAAUUUGUUGAGGAGGCGAUCAAAGCUUCAAUAAGAGUUAAUGAAUAUCUACAUGUGAGGUGACGGUGAAUCGUCUUUGCAAGUGUUAUUAACUUUUUGCUCACGGUUUUGUUACGUAUAUAAAUUGUACUGUAGUCAUGAGCCAUUGCCAGUAUCUGAUUUGAAAAUUUUCAUCAUUGUCUUACAGUAUCUGAAUACAAAUCAUACUUUAUAUAAUGCCGUGAUUAAAGCUGAGCAAGAGGGCAACUUGCUCACCGACGAAGCUCAUAGGGUCGCGCAUUACCUCAGCCUUGACUUUGAGAGGAGUGGGAUUCAUCUUUCUGCUGGUACUUGCUCUCUUCUUGUCAUUUUAUGCUGCUGUAACAUCAGGGAUUUUGUUGCAGCUAAAUAACUCCUCACUUCUGCUUUGCAGAGAAAGUAGAUAGAGUGAACCGGCUGAGUAUAGAUAUUUCCCAAUUGUGCAGACAGUAAGUACACUAAUUUUUUUUUAUAUGUUUUUUUGUUUUGGCGUUCCUCUGUGCCAAUUGUUAACUGCAAGUUAGAACUUUUAGGCCUGCUACCAGGUUUAGGAAAAUAAGUUAUUUUCUACUGGUUUGUUUGACUAAUGCUGCCACACAAUUAUUGUGCUUGUAAGAUUUGAACCAAAGACACAGCUUAGGCCCACACUGCCCAUUUCCAUUAGAGCCUAGGGCCAAAAGUAUCUUGUUCAAGUUUUGCAAUGUUGUGGAGAUAUAAUUUUAACUGCUUGCUGAUGCUGUACCAUGCUUUUCAUUUUUGCUUUUAAAUCAAGAGCUUGAUUAAUUGACUUUACUUUUGCUUCAAAUGCAUUUGUUUUUGGUUUAGGUUCAAAAUAUCGUCAAUGACCCGGGUACUGUGGAUAUGUUCCCAGCGUCACUUAUACCUCGAAAUUUGCACCAUCUUCUUAAGCCCAUCUAUCGUUCAACAUCUGUAGUUUCAAAGGACUCGUGGAGGCCUGGGAGUACCAUGAACGAGAAGGGGUUUCGUAUAACAACAGACCGCCACACUCUAUCUUGUGUUCUGGAAGGGGCACCAAAUGAUGAGGUAACUUGAUUGUUGUUUGGUGAAACUCAACUUUCCUGUUUUCUGAAUCUUUUCUGGGGUAGGGAGUUAGGGCAGUAAGUUCUAGAUGCCAGAAUAUGGAAACUAAGUUUACACUAUGGAUGCACUUUCUUUGUUUUUUCUCAUUUGCUUUACUUUGCAAAUGAAAUUGGGCUUUGUUAUAUUGCAUGUCACGUAAAUUUCUUUCUCAUUUGCAUUUAUUGUGUUUUAUGCUUGUCUUUUUGUUAAUUAACUAAAAUUUAGUUUCAGGUCCGGAAAAUGGCAUAUAUCAAAGGAAAUUCUGUUCCUCAUGCAAACCUUGGUGUUCUUGACUUAUAGCUUCCCGCCAUGAGCUUGCUCAGGUUUCUCUAUACCUAAACUCCCAGCAUAUUCUAAUCUCUUACUCCGCCUAGUUCUCCUUCCACCCUCCCAUUCCCAUACAUAAAUUGCACGAUACUAUUCUAUACCUAAACUCCCAGCAUAUUCUAAUCUCUUACUCCUCCUGGUUCUUCUUCUUCUUCUCUUUCUUCUUGAUCUCAUUCUUGUUGAUCCUUGAAACUCCAGAUGGGAUACAAAUAUGUAUCUCAUGCUUGGGGUAGNNNNNNNNNNNNNNNNNNNNNNNNNNNNNNNNNNNNNNNNNNNNNNNNNNNNNNNNNNNNNNNNNNNNNNNNNNNNNNNNNNNNNNNNNNNNNNNNNNNNNNNNNNNNNNNNNNNNNNNNNNNNNNNNNNNNNNNNNNNNNNNNUCUUCUCAUAAACAAUUUGAGUUUUUCUCAAGUGAGGCUUAUCUCCUGUGGAUUUUUGAGUGUUUACUAUGGAUAUUUCUGAUCAAAAGGUUCAUUGCAAAGGUAACAGCUCAUUUGACAACAGGAAAAGCUUGACUGAGCACUUUGAUACAAUUCAUGACAAGACUCACAAGCUAUGUGGUGAGAAAUUACUUUGCAAGGAGCCCGUCUACCCUAAGCAUGAGAUACAUAUUUGUAUCCCAUAUGGGGUUUCAAGGAUCAACAAGAAUGAGCUCAAGAAGAAAGAGAAAAAGAACCAAGAGGAGUAAGAGAUUAGAAUAUGCUGGGAGUUUAGGUAUAGAAUAGCAUCGUGCAAUUUAUGUAUGGGAAUGGGAGGGUGGAAGGGGAACUAGGAGUAGUAAGAGAUUAGAAUAUGCUGAGAGUUCAGGUAUAGAGAUUAGAAUAUGCUGUUACUCUCCAGAGGCAAUCUUUGAAAAACAAGAACGUAUCUAUUUUCAAUCUUAUCAGUACUAUUUUCUAUAUCCAAGUUAUAUUAUUGCAAUUGUCGCUCAUCUUUGGCCAAAUAUGUUGUUCUUAUCAACAGUUGUGAGAAUGUUAUUUCAAGAUAUUCUUCUGCGCCAUUCACCAUAGUAAGUUUGAUUAAAACUGUGCAAGACCUCUUUCUUUUGUAUGUAAGACAGCCUCAUAUUAUAGUUUUCUGUUUCAGGAGAGAACUUCUGGUGCUAAAUUCCUUUUGUUUUACUUAAGGUGUAGGACAUAGUGAAGAAUUGUUUUACUUUAGGUUUAUUCGAAUCAAAUGGCUUCAUUAAUUAUUCAGCGUAUGCUACAAAAUUCACAUGGAUGGGUAAGAAUAACAGUUCAAGGAAACUUAUUAAUAUCCAUCAGAAAAUGAAUAAAAAUUGCUACUCCACAUUUGCCUCGCCAACUCCAGAAUGAAAUCUCUGCAGCUGUUAGCCCACGCUUGACAUUUGCGUCCUACAUUGCCUCCAACAAGAGCCGUGCCAUAGUUUUGCCUCUUCGCUCACCUUCUUUUCUUCAAACCCCUCCAUUUCAUUCCUUCCCUUGCUAUUUAGUUGACUAGUUCUUGUUAACUCAAAUGGAACACAACAAGGGCUGUUCUCUAUACCUUUUCCAACUUCAUUUCAUUACAAAGACAGGAAAUAUCAGGAACCAUUCCUCCAUUAAAAUUCCUCAGGAUCCCAUCUCCUACAAGACCACUUAACAAAUGGGAAGGUUCUUUAGCUCCCCCAUGCUGUAAGAAUUUUGUUCUUAAUGCAGUUCCCGUAGUUAAUGAUAGUGGAUCCUCCUGGCACAGUUUCUGCCAUAUUGUUGCGGCAAAACAUUUGGCAUACAAGUAGCUAUAAUAACC